AUGCAAUUAUCCCAUUUAGGAAACACUAUAACCAACGAAGAACAGAUCACAAAUUACCGCGUAAUUUAGCAAACAAAUUAUAGUAAUAGUUUAAGAUUCCAGUGAAAGAUUGCCCCGCUUGUAAGGUGCAACUGUGCAUUAACAAAAAACUGAGAGAGAGAGAGAGAGAGAGAGAGACAGGAGCGAUCAGGAAAACACUGUGGAUCUAGACUACUUUUACUCGAUGCGUUUCCUAAAAAUUUUGCUCAAUCUCGCGAUAAACUUGGCAAGGCUCUAGAGAUGGGUAGUUGUUCUUUGUUGCCGUAAAAGUCUCUCCUUAUUUGCGGUGUCUGUGGUGUUGUUGGUCUCUUUCUUCUACAGCUAGUGGGUGUGUCAUGAUUGUGCAUUAAAUGCACACCCAUUUGCCAUGUCCUUUGCCGUCUACUGUGCGUUGUGAGAGUGGAAAUUGUUUUUGGUUGGAUUUGACAUUCUGUUUGUUCUGGCGAGAUUCUUUGGUUUGCUGCUGCCUCUUCUCUCUUUUCCCUGUUCUGGUUUCGUUGCAACGUUGCCGGAUAAGCCUCUGUUUCUUUUCUGGUUUAGUUGGCUUAUUAAUCUCUGUCUACGUUGGUAGUUUCUAUGCUUUUCAUGUCAGUUGUUUGUGUGGUUGUUUGGGAGACUUGUGGUAGGAGGGUUUGAUUGUUGUUUUCCUCUUUUUUGGGAUUGGAUCGGCAUGGGUUUGCGAGGGACUAUAUAACUGUUUUGUUUCUUAGGGGUUAUACUCUUAUAAAAAACUAUCCAGCCUCUCUAUUUCUCUUCUUUCUAUGUCCCGCGUCGUUCUACCAUGGUGAUUAAUUUCUUACAUUUCCAGUCUUCACUUUUGCAUUGCUUUCAUUGGCUCUUUUGUUUUGUUUAUUAUCUGUUUCAUUUUGGAUUGUUGAUGCUUUGUUCUUUUAUGAUUUGGUUCUCUCAGGGCUUUGGAUUUUGGCUUGGGAAGGAUUGUUGGCCUUGUUUGGUUGUCUGUGAGGUUGUCCUCUCUAGGUUUAUGUUCUUAUUGGGAUUCCAAGCCUUAUACUGUGUUGGGGGCUUUCUUCUGUGUUCUAUUCUUGAGAGGCUCUAGAAUAGAUGCAAUUGUUGAUAGAUAAACAUUCCAAAAUUUUGCCUUGAAAUAAACACACCUUGGGAUUUUGCAGAGGGUUCCAAGUUCUAGAUGUUGCAUGUGGAGGUUCUCUUUGUCAAGACAUUGAAAAAUAGGUUUCAAGUGUGUGAAAUCCCAAAGAGUGAAGCACAUUAAUUAUGAUAUAAUAUUAUAAUGGACAUAGACAUGUGGUGAAGGUGGUGGAAAACACCCCUUUGCAUGAUUGGUUCAGGGAUUCUUUGGAAGAAAAUAGAAUGGAGAUUUCGGUUAAUAGUUAUUACUUCCAGGGGGUGAAGAGUUAGCACAAAGGUUCGUGCCUGUGGUGUUCGCAUCUGAUGGAUUGGUUGAAGGGUUUUAUGAUCCUGAUGUUAAUAAUCCCGAAGAGGGUAAAUUCAGAACGGGUCUUCAAUUUGAUCCAGAGCGAACGAGGCAAGGUUACACCGAUUAAGUCUGAUUAUCCAAGAUACCCUAGGGCCUAUUAGGUUUUGAACCCAUUCUUUACAUAUGAUCUUUUAUGAUUGAAUCUUGAUUAAACAAUGAAUGAUUGGUACGUUACUGGAUUAAAAUAAAACUAUUAUGGAGAAAUUUGUGAAGGUUGUGAUUGUCUAUCGGAAGAAGCUUAAUAGUACUACAUCUGUUCCGAAGCCUCUAAACUAGAAUAAGCAAUGAAGAAAAUGAAAGUUAUAAUUAGAAGUUUCUCAUUGUCCAAAAACAUUUACAUUGCUGGCCGAGGAAUGAAUCCAUCAAAAGAAUCAGAACUGCAACCGGGAAUGCCUAUUUCUAAUUAUAUCCAUCUUCAGAGCAAUAUAUGUGGACCAAGUGAAUCCAAAGCUCUAACUGAAGUUGGGAAAGGGAGCACCGAAUGUGAUGUGGGGUUGAGAUUAAACUUAGAAAUCUUGUUCUGCGGAUGAGAAAACGUUCACUUGGAUAGCCUGGUGUGGAUUGUGGUUUUUUGCUGUUCUUCUGCAUCCAUGAUGAGAAGGGGGGGAGAAUAUUUAGACUUUCUCACUCCAGAUGGGUUAACAUGGAUAUCACAGGGACAGAUCUUGCUGUCAGCAUUCUUUUCACUUUCCAGUCUUUGAUUUUGGCUGAGCUCGGGCUGAAACUCGGCGUUAAGAGUGCCUUUGUUUUGUGCAUCUUCCAUAUAUUGCUUGCGAGGAAAAGCAAGCGAAAAUGGGGACCCAAACCAGGUUCAGAGGUGGUCUUUUUUUACUAUGAAUCGUGUGUAUUUAGAACAUCACCUGUAACCUUCUGCAAAACCAUUCGAGCUACUGCUGAUUGGUAACAUUUAUUUGUUCUAUUUCCUAAUUCAAUCAUGCAAAAUAAGCAUUUACCUUUCC